AUAAGACAUAAAUCUUCUUGAAAAAGAGGGGUGUCCUCGAGAACACGGAUACAUGUGGUGCAUGACUAUCGUCAGCUCGUGCCGUAAGGUGUUGGGUUAAUUCCCGCAACGAGCGCAACCCUCGUGUUUAGUUGUCAACAUUUUACAUUGCUUAAAAUGAAAAUUAAUUGUCAUUUAUGACAAAAAUUUGCAUUAAUCUAUGUAAUAAAU
rfam:Beta vulgaris subsp. vulgaris Bvchr6.sca012.con0055.1, whole genome shotgun sequence.